GACGAACGCUGGCGGCGUGCUUAACACAUGCAAGUCGAACGGAAAGGCCCUGCUUUUGUGGGGUGCUCGAGUGGCGAACGGGUGAGUAACACGUGAGUAACCUGCCCUUGACUUUGGGAUAACUUCAGGAAACUGGGGCUAAUACCGGAUAGGAGCUCCUGCUGCAUGGUGGGGGUUGGAAAGUUUCGGCGGUUGGGGAUGGACUCGCGGCUUAUCAGCUUGUUGGUGGGGUAGUGGCUUACCAAGGCUUUGACGGGUAGCCGGCCUGAGAGGGUGACCGGCGACAUUGGGACUGAGAUACGGCGCAGACUCCUACAGGAGGCAGCGGUGGGGAAUAUUGCACAAUGGGCGGAAGCCUGAUGCAGCAACGCCGCGUGCGGGAUGACGGCCUUCGGGUUGUAAACCGCUUUCGCCUGUGACGAAGCGUGAGUGACGGUAAUGGGUAAAGAAGCACCGGCUAACUACGUG
rnacentral:rRNA from 1 species